UACGUAGGGUGCGAGCGUUAAUCGGAAUUACUGGGCGUAAAGCGUGCGCAGGCGGCGCGUUAAGACAGGUGUGAAAGCCCCGAGCUUAACUUGGGAAUUGCGCUUGUGACUGGCGUGCUGGAGUGUGGCAGAGGGAGGUGGAAUUCCACGUGUGGCAGUGAAAUGCGUAGAGAUGUGGAGGAACACCGAUGGCGAAGGCAGCCUCCUGGGCCAGCACUGACGCUCAUGCACGAAAGCGUGGGGAGCAAACAGG
rnacentral:rRNA from 1 species